rnacentral:lncRNA from 1 species
GUGUGCAAUGCAGGCACGGAGACAUUAGCUAAGUAUUUUCCGGAUCACUCGUCCAGUACAUUUGUAUUCAGAUCUGACUUGAGAGUCUGCACCCUUCUGCAUUCCUGAUAUUUCUGCUUCUCCCAGAGAGACCAAAAAUGAAGGCCUUGAGAUGUGCGAGAGAUUUACCAAAGUCUAGAACUGACCAGUGCUGAAAUUGACCAGGGCAAGAGAAAGGGGAAGAUCAGCAUGUGACAUUUCCCAAAGAGGAACCACAGAGCACUUUUGAACAAGGAGAUGUGGACUGCAGCUUAUGUUAGAGCAAUGCUUCCCAAAUACAGAUGGUCUCCACAGUAUCCUGUGAAUUUUAUUAAGAUGCAGACUCUGAUUCAGCAGUUCUUGGCCCUCCAACAUCAUGCUGAAGACCAGGACGAUGGGACCUGUUCACAGUGUUGGAGGACAGGUGACUGGCUUGAGUGGGACCAUGUGCAUUGUCCCUUGAAUGAGCUGGGAGAAGUGGACCGGAAGACGUGCUGACAGAUUGUCAGCAUCGGUCUAAUGGGAAGGCAUUGUUAAAAAGUGCUUACAUGUGCAUAGAAUCUUGCAAUGGGGAUGUACAGGAG